rnacentral:rRNA from 1 species
GGGUCAGUAGGUUGGUCGUGCCACCGGUACGUACUGGUCUCACUGAUUCCUCCUUCCUGAAGAACCGUAAUGCCCUUAAUUUGGUGUUGCGGGGAAACAGGACUGUUACUUUGAAAAAAUUAGAGUGUUUAAAGCAAGCUAACGCUUGAAUAAAUUAGCAUGGAAUAAUGAAAUAGGACGAUCGAUCCUAUUUUGUUGGUUUCUAGGAUUGACGUA